rnacentral:lncRNA from 1 species
CUGCUGGCAUGUUUGCAAAAUAGCACAAGGUGCUGUAAAAUGAAGAUAUAUUGUUAAAUAUCAUGAGAUAGAAAUAAAAGAUGAAGAUCUAGCUGUACCCGUCCCGAGCCACACUGCUGCAGCCACGUUGCUGCUGGCAUUUUUGCAAAAUAGCACAAGGUCACAACAAUUGAUGUAACAAAUAUAAUCAAUGGACCAGGCACCUGCACCAUGAUUCUUUGGAAUACUAAAAUUCGUCUCUUUAUGUCUGUACUUCUCAUAAUGAAAAAUGUCACGUUUUUAUGAAAGAAAUAAUGGAAUCAAAUAAUAAAUAAAACAAGCAUAUGCUGGAA